GCGGGUGUAGUUCAGUUGGCUAGAAUGUAACCUUGCCAAGGUUAAGGUCGUGGGUUCGAAUCCCAUCACCCGCUCCA
rnacentral:tRNA from 1 species